CAGUAGCCGCGGGAACACGAAGGGGGCUAGCGUUGCUCGGAAUUACUGGGCGUAAAGGGAGCGUAGGCGGGUUAUCAAGUUGGAGGUGAAAGCCCAGGGCUCAACCUUGGAAUUGCCUUCAAAACUGAUAGCCUAGGGUAUGAUAGAGGUAAGUGGAACUCCGAGUGUAGAGGUGAAAUUCGUAGAUAUUCGGAAGAACACCAGUGGCGAAGGCGACUUACUGGAUCAUGACUGACGCUGAGGCUCGAAAGCGUGGGGAGCAAACAGGAUUAGAUACCCCUGUAGUCCCUGUCUCUUAUAC
rnacentral:rRNA from 1 species